UCAGCUAAACUUCCUUUUCUUUUCCCAUUAGUGCAGUGGAGGGGCAGUCCCUACCUCAGGGUACAGUCAAGCAGAGCUGUCUUGGAUCCCUUGAGAAUGAAGGGAUCUAAUUUUCAAGGUGUCGUUUCUUGCUGCCUCAGAGGCUGAGCAGCUGAUGAAUUCUCCAAGAACAUUUCCUAUUUUCCUUCAUGGGUGCACUGGAGAGAUUCUGGCCAAAAGUCCCUUGCUGGAAUUCUGCUCUUCCUCUGAGACUACCCUCUCACCUUCCAUCACACAGCUGCUCGCCAACCUUUAUUGCCCUUUUCUCCCUCCUCCCGGCUGCUGCCAAGAUUUGCAAGCUUUCCAGACAUGACCUGAGGGUUUCUUCUGGCUGCUUUCCAGUGCCAUCAAGGUGACUAUCGAUAUUAACCAUCGAUAUGUAGACGUGAACUCUGACAGUUCCUAUAGACCUUCAGAUACUGAGUGUAUGGUUUAGCCUUGGAGACUUCAGCGGUCACAGCAGUGGAGAGGGUGAGAAAUUCAGAUUCUUUGUGGGCAUCCUGUAUCCUGGGGAAUGUGUGUGCA
rnacentral:lncRNA from 1 species